CAAUUCAGUCAAACCAUACAGCCUGUGUGUGGACUUCCUCUUCUGUCUUUAUCUUAAGCCAAUAUAUGUCUUUAGAAGACUUUUUACAGUAGCUCUCUUUAGAAGACUUCACUAUGUUUGAGAGGUCUGAAAGGGUCACUAAUCAAUGGAGAUUAAAAAAAAAAGACAGGAAGUGAUAAUAUAAUUGCAGAGGUGAGGAGAAGGCAGAUUGUUUAUCUGCAGUACUUGGAAACUGUUAACUUACCAAAGUGUGAUACGUGGUGUACUUUUAUUUCAUGGGUAAUCAUUUUUCAUGGGUGGUGAUUAAAACCUUUUUUAUUCAGAGGAAACAGAGUGAGCCCAUCCUUGCAGAGGGAGGUUUCUCAUGCCUUCAGCGUCCACCCCCCACUCAUCAUUCCCUACAAACAGCAAGUGCAAGGUGUGGGAGCCCAGUGCUUUAACAGCAAUCAUUCCAGGGCACGCUCCAUGAUAAAGCGUGUUUUUGGAAUGAUGAAGACGAGAUUCAGGGCCAUCAUCCUGCUGGAGUGCUGGUGACUUUGUGGCCCUAGAGGAUGAUGCAGCAGGGGAUGAGGGGGAGGCUGGUUUGGAGGCAGUCACUGGUGCUCUUUGGCAGGACCAGCUGUCUCCUGGGGUGUCUGCCUUGGAGGAUGUACCACCAGAUCAUGACUACUGUUAACAGGCAAGUAAAAAUGUAUCUAGGAAUAAAGAGUUGGAAGUAUUAUACUAGUAGUAAUAUAUCAUCCACCAUCUUCUGCUUGCAUAUUUCUGAAAACAUCUUAGUGGUGUGGCAGCCCUGCAAACCCUGUUGAUGGAUGAUGCAGUGUACAGUGGGAGGAAGCAUCCUAAAGCUCUCUUUGCAGACCACCCUGUGUGAUUCUUUACUCGUCAACAAAUCCCAGGUCUCAGUUGCAGCACCCCAUCCAGGUCUGAUCUGGCUUUAGAAGAUCCAACAACACUGCCAGAGACUUCCUGUUUCUUCAAACUAUUAAAGUUUUUAAAAAAAAAGGUCCAGGAAUAGGUCACUCAGGUUAAUCCUCUGUGAACAACUGUAAACAUGUCAUGGUUCUGAGGAUUUGGAGAGGGUAUGGUGUGUUUUUGUCUUUGUCUGGACUUUGCUUCCUCACCUCUGAACCUGUUCUCAACGCACACCUGUAGCUCGUUCACACUGAUUCUGCUCUGGCUUUUCAUCACAAGGAUUAUUCCUGGCAGACUACUUAAGAUGGCAGGAGAUGCUGCUUCUUUGCUGGAUUGUCGCACUACCUGGCGUCAGUGUAGCCUAGCCUUUUGAGUAUCUUUUGUGAUUUCCCAGAGUUUCCUCCUAAUGUUGUUUUCCUUUGUGUACAGACCUCUCGGAAUGUCUGCUCGUCUCUCCUGCUGCCUGCAUGCCUGUGGAUGUGUCACGGACUGUGUAAAAGAGGAGCGUGUGUGUGCCUGCCCUGGACCUUCCCUCACCUUCGGACCCCCCCACCCCCUGGAGCCCCAUGUUACCUGUUCCACUGUAUAUAUGUAUCUAUCCUCACCUGGUGCCACAUUGUAAAUAAAUCCUUCACCAUCUCUCUAAAGUCUCUAAAUUAGAGUCCUGCGAACAAAAUUCUCCAGUAUGGAUCGCAAUGAAUUCUGGGAUAGGGUGGGCCACGAAAGAUACACCCAACCCAUCCUUCAAAUCCAGGGAAAUGGAGGAUGCAUUUGUGGGCCGCAUUUGGAGCAGCCUUCAAAUUUGGACAGCCUUCAUCACCUGGCUGUGACUUAAUCAGCCUACAAAUGCGGCUUCCAAAGGAUGCAGCCCCUGAAUUUGGACACAGCCACUGUGGAACCAUCCUUUUGUCUACUCAGCAGCAUACAAAGAUCCUGCGAGAUGAACCAAAGUUUUCGAAUUUUCAUUCAUCAGUCCAUAAUACCUUCUUCCAGUCUUCAGUAGUCCAGUGUAUUUCAUGGCCCAGGCAAGCCUCUUUGUCUUAUUCUGAUGUCUUAGCAAUGGCUUUCUUGCUGCAACUCGUCCUGUCAAACCUGAAGUUUGAAGUCUUCUCUUCUGAUGUGAAUCUUAGGACACAUUGAUCACUGACACUUCAAACAAACAUUAGGGCCCUGGAUUUCUCCUCAGGCCACAGCCUUCACUUCUAGGUGGUGGCUGUCGCUCAGAAGGUGGAGCAGGUCAUUUGACAAUCAGGUGGUUGUUUUUGGUUCCCUGGCUACUCCAGUCUGCAUGGCAAAGUAUCCUUGGGCACGAUACUAAACCACAGGUUACUCCCUAUCUGUUCAUGAGAGCAUGAAUGUGUGCAAUUGUUAGAUAGAAAACUUGUUUUGCUUCUUUUCUUAUUUAUUAUGUUUUAUUAUUAUUUAGGGGUUUGUUUGUUUUUUAUAGAACAUUGUAGUGGCUGAAGGAGCAGGGCCAUGAGCCCAAAGUCUCAUGGGAUGUUCAUGCUGACAUUGAUGAGUUGAGUCACAGUGUUAUAAGAGCUAUUUCAGUUAUCCUGUGUGCAUCUCUCAUUCUUAUUGUUAAUUUAUCAUGUGAAUUGCAGCUGUUUGUUUAGUAGUGAGUAAUGACCAUCAUGACUGGGACUGCUGUGCCGUUUAAUGAUCUAUGGUCACUGUUGCUGAUUAGGGGUGUUAUGCUAAUAGAGCUGCAUUCCUGUAGUUGAGCAGUUAAUGAAACAGAGGGACUGCAAAUAAAGAUUGAGAUCUCUCUACUUACCACAAUAAUUUCAUUAUUUUUAUGGUAUGGC
ensembl:lncRNA